AGCACGGGAGCAAUCCUGGUGGCGAGUGGCGAACGGGUGAGUAAUGUAUCGGAACGUACCUUUCAGUGGGGGAUAACGUAGCGAAAGUUACGCUAAUACCGCAUAUUCUGUGAGCAGGAAAGCAGGGGAUCGCAAGACCUUGCGCUGAUUGAGCGGCCAAUAUCAGAUUAGCUAGUUGGUGAGGUAAAGGCUCACCAAGGCGACGAUCUGUAGCGGGUCUGAGAGGAUGAUCCGCCACACUGGAACUGAGACACGGUCCAGACUCCUACGGGAGGCAGCAGUGGGGAAUUUUGGACAAUGGGGGCAACCCUGAUCCAGCCAUGCCGCGUGAGUGAAGAAGGCCUUCGGGUUGUAAAGCUCUUUCAGCCGGGAAGAAAUCACAUGGGUUAAUACCCUGUGUGGAUGACGGUACCGGAAUAAGAAGCACCGGCUAACUAUGUGCCAGCAGCCGCGGUAAUACGUAGGGUGCGAGCGUUAUUCGGAAUUACUGGGCGUAAAGAGCGCGCAGGCGGUUUGUCAAGACAGGCGUGAAAUCCCCGGGCUCAACCUGGGAUCUGCGUUGAUGACUGGCAGGCUAGAGUGUGGCAGAGGAGGGUGGAAUUCCUGGUGUAGCAGUGAAAUGCGCAGAGAUGUGGAGGAACACCGAUGGCGAAGGCAGCCCCCUGGGCCUAUACUGACGCUCAUGCACGAAAGCGUGGGUAGCAAACAGGAUUAGAUACCCUGGUAGUC
rnacentral:rRNA from 1 species